CAACUCGCCCUCAUGAAGCUGGAAUCCGUAGUAAUCGCGUUUCAACACAGCGCGGUGAAUACGUCCCUGCUCCUUGCACACACCGCCCGUCAAACCAUCUGAGUGAGGUUUGGAUGAGGGUCUUCCUUAUGGGGGAUUCGAAUCUGGGCUUCGCAAGGAGGGUUAAGUCGUAACAAGGUAGCCGUAGGGGAAUCUGCGGCUGGAUCACCUCCUAAU
rnacentral:rRNA from 1 species